UGGGGAAUAUUGCACAAUGGGCGCAAGCCUGAUGCAGCCAUGCCGCGUGUGUGAAGAAGGCCUUCGGGUUGUAAAGCACUUUCAGCGGGGAGGAAGGCGUUAAGGUUAAUAACCUCAUCGAUUGACGUUACCCGCAGAAGAAGCACCGGCUAACUCCGUGCCAGCAGCCGCGGUAAUACGGAGGGUGCAAGCGUUAAUCGGAAUUACUGGGCGUAAAGCGCACGCAGGCGGUCUGUCAAGUCGGAUGUGAAAUCCCCGGGCUCAACCUGGGAACUGCAUUCGAAACUGGCAGGCUAGAGUCUUGUAGAGGGGGGUAGAAUUCCAGGUGUAGCGGUGAAAUGCGUAGAGAUCUGGAGGAAUACCGGUGGCGAAGGCGGCCCCCUGGACAAAGACUGACGCUCAGGUGCGAAAGCGUGGGGAGCAAACAGG
rnacentral:rRNA from 1 species